rnacentral:rRNA from 1 species
GACGAACGCUGGCGGCGUGCUUAACACAUGCGAGUCGAACGGAAAGGCCCUGCUUUUGUGGGGUGCUCGAGUGGCGAACGUGUGAGUAACACGUGAGUAACCUGCCCUUGACUUUGGGAUAACUUCAGGAAACUGGGGCUAAUACCGGAUAGGAGCUCCUGCUGCAUGGUGGGGGUUGGAAAGUUUCGGCGGUUGGGGAUGGACUCGCGGCUUAUCAGCUUGUUGGUGGGGUAGUGGCUUACCAAGGCUUUGACGGGUAGCCGGCCUGAGAGGGUGACCGGCCACAUUGGGUCUGAGAUACGGCCCAGACUCCUACGGGAGGCAGCAGUGGGGAAUAUUGCACAAUGGGCGGAAGCCUGAUGCAGCAACGCCGCGUGCGGGAUGACGGCCUUCGGGUUGUAAACCGCUUUCGCCUGUGACGAAGCGUGAGUGACUGUAAUGGGUAAAGAAGCACCGGCUAACUACGU